AUCGGAUUCCUAGCAAUUUGUGGGCUUUGCCCACUGUCUCUUACCCAUGUCUUUUGAGUACUUACGUUUCCUCGGUGGGCUCGCCCCCCGGUUGGACAAUUUAAACCAUUUGCAGUUGCAAUCAGCGUCUGAAAAACAUAAUAGUUACAACUUUCAACAACGGAUCUCUUGGUUCUGGCAUCGAUGAAGAACGCAGCGAAAUGCGAUAAGUAGUGUGAAUUGCAGAAUUCAGUGAAUCAUCGAAUCUUUGAACGCACAUUGCGCCCCUUGGUAUUCCAUGGGGCAUGCCUGUUCGAGCGUCAUUUGUACCUUCAAGCUCUGCUUGGUGUUGGGUGUUUGUCUCGCCUUGCGCGUAGACUCGCCUUAAAACAAUUGGCAGCCGGCGUAUUGAUUUCGGAGCGCAGUACAUCUCGCGCUUUGCACUCAUAACGACGACGUCCAAAAGUACUUUUUACACUCUUGACCUCGGAUCAGGUAGGGAUACCCGCUGAACUUAAGCAUAUCAAUAAGCGGAGGAA
rnacentral:rRNA from 1 species